rnacentral:rRNA from 1 species
UGAGGAAUAUUGGUCAAUGGGCGAGAGCCUGAACCAGCCAAGUAGCGUGCAGGAUGACGGCCCUAUGGGUUGUAAACUGCUUUUAUAUGGGAAUAAAGCGAGGGACGUGUCCCUGAUUGCAUGUACCAUACGAAUAAGGACCGGCUAAUUCCGUGCCAGCAGCCGCGGUAAUACGGAAGGUCCAGGCGUUAUCCGGAUUUAUUGGGUUUAAAGGGAGCGUAGGCUGUUUGUUAAGCGUGUUGUGAAAUGUAAGAGCUCAACUUUUAGAUUGCCGCGCGAACUGGCAGACUUGAGUGCGCACAACGUAGGCGGAAUUCAUGGUGUAGCGGUGAAAUGCUUAGAUGUCCUGAAGAACUCCGAUUGCGAAGGCAGCUUACGGGAGUGUUACUGACGCUUAAGCUCGAAGGUGCGGGUAUCGAACAGG